GAUGAACGCUAGCUACAGGCUUAACACAUGCAAGUCGAGGGGUAACGAGAGGGAAGCUUGCUUUCCUUGUCGACGACCGGCGCACGGGUGAAUAACGCGUAUCCAACCUGCCCCCAACUAGGGAAUAACCUUGCGAAAGUAAGACUAAUACCCUAUAAUUUCCUCAGAUGUCAUCUGACGAGGAAUAAAGAUUUAUCGGUUGUGGAUGGGGAUGCGUCUGAUUAGCUUGUUGGCGGGGUAACGGCCCACCAAGGCAACGAGCAGUAGGGGUUCUGAGAGGAAGGUCCCCCACAUUGGAACUGAGACACGGUCCAAACUCCUACGGGAGGCAGCAGUGAGGAAUAUUGGUCAAUGGGCGGAAGCCUGAACCAGCCAAGUAGCGUGCAGGAUGACGGCCCUAUGGGUUGUAAACUGCUUUUAUACAGGAAUAAAGUUAGCCACGUGUGGUUAUUUGUAGGUACUGUAUGAAUAAGGACCGGCUAAUUCCGUGCCAGCCGCCGCGGUAA
rnacentral:rRNA from 1 species